GAUGAACGCUAGCGGCAGGCUUAACACAUGCAAGUCGAACGGUAGAGGGAGCAACCCCUUGAGAGUGGCGAACGGGUGAGUAAUAUAUCGGAACGUGCCCAGUCGUGGGGAUAACGUAGCGAAAGUUACGCUAAUACCGCAUACGAUCUACGGAUGAAAGCGGGGGACUCGCAAGAGCCUCGCGCGAUUGGAGCGGCCGAUAUCAGAUUAGGUAGUUGGUGGGGUAAAGGCUCACCAAGCCAACGAUCUGUAGCUGGUCUGAGAGGACGACCAGCCACACUGGAACUGAGACACGGUCCAGACUCCUACGGGAGGCAGCAGUGGGGAAUUUUGGACAAUGGGCGAAAGACCUGAUCCAGCCAUGCCGCGUGCAGGAUGAAGGCCUCGGUU
rnacentral:rRNA from 1 species